GAUGAACGCUAGCGGCAGGCCUAACACAUGCAAGUCGAGGGGUAGAGGAAGCCUGCUUCCUUGAGACCGGCGCACGGGUGCGUAACGCGUAUGCAAUCUACCUUAUACAGGGGAAUAGCCCAGAGAAAUUUGGAUUAAUGCCCCAUAGUGUUAUUGAAUCGCAUGGUUUAGUAACUAAAGUUCCAACGGUAUAAGAUGAGCAUGCGUCCCAUUAGUUAGUUGGUAAGGUAACGGCUUACCAAGACAAUGAUGGGUAGGGGUCCUGAGAGGGAGAUCCCCCACACUGGUACUGAGACACGGACCAGACUCCUACGGGAGGCAGCAGUGAGGAAUGUUGGACAAUGGGCGCAAGCCUGAUCCAGCCAUGCCGCGUGCAGGAAUAAGGUCCUAUGGAUUGUAAACUGCUUUUAUACAGGAAGGAAACACACCCUCCGUGA
rnacentral:rRNA from 1 species